UAAAUCCAUUUCUUUUUCACGUCAUCAGCCGCAUACAGGUUCAUUUCCCUCUCAAAUUCACUGCAACCUUAUCCUCAAUGCACACAGAUGAAAUAACUUGCCAUCUGCCCUCCCACCUCUUGAUUAUGACCUGCAACUCACGAGAGGUAUCAUCUUCCAAACCACAGACACCUCCCUCGUUCCUCUCUAGAGACCAGCCGACAACACCAACAUCAGAACUCCUCUCCUCCUUUGAUCUCCCUACACCAGCGAAAGAUUAGAGGUGGCGUUGCCGCUCACGGCGGCAGCAGUUGUGGAUCUGGAUGGCUGAACAACGACACCCUGUCCCCUCGUUUCCGACGAUGAAAAUCAGUUUCGUUUCGUCUUCACUACCGUUCCCUCGUUUCUUCACUACCGGACACUUGAAUAGCAGAUUCGUGGCGGCGGAGACGACAAUCGUGAGCGACGGACAGAGCCACUACCAGGCAGUGGUGGUGGCUGCGUUAGGGUACUUCCUCUGAUCUCCCUUCGUGGCUCCCUUGUUCAAGUAAGUUACAAAUUCGAGUUAAGUUUUGGUGCGGUUUGGUUCGGGUGGCUGGUUAAGGUUAGUCAAUGGGUCGGAUUUUUUUUCUGGUCAAGUCUCGGGUCAGAUUCAUGCUCGGAUCUUAGUUGGUUCAAGGACGGAUCGGGUUCAGAUUCGGGUCAAAGGUCGUUCAUGCUUCAGAUUCCAGUUUGGUUCGAGUUUCGGGUUCACGAUUAGCGUGUUCGGGUCUCAGUCAGCAGAAGAUCGGUGAGUUUUUUUUUGGGUUUCGGGUUAAUAGGUUCAAAUUUUGGUUCGGUUCUGUUUUAGACAGAUUCGGGUCUGGGCUCAGAUCGGGUUUGGUUCGGUCAGAUUGGUCAACUUCAGAUGUGGUUCGGGUUAACUCGGUCAACCGAGUUAACUGGGUCAACUCAGUCAACGCGAGUCAACCCAGUUGACUCGGUCAACUGGUUAACUCAGUCUCGGUCAACACAGUCAAAUGGUCAACGACUCGACGCGAAGAUUGGUUGCAUUUUCAAAAUUAUGGCAAGGUUAAUACAAGAACCAUGUGGAUUCGAGUACUUAGUGGGCGUUCGUUUUCUAGAAGUCUUAGCUUUAACUACUUCCAUUGUGCAAUGAAGAUACCAGUCAGUCACGCCAAGCUCUGAUAUUUCGGGGUGUGACAUUUGGUACGUGGCGCCAGAGUUGCAUAGGCCGAAAGGAAUUUUAGUAUAGCAGAAAAGUCCCAUCUCGGUCGUGAAUGUUGUCUUAUCUUCAUCUUUCAAGGCCAUAUGCACUUGGUAAUAGCCCAUAUAAUAGUCUAAGAAGCAUUUCCACCUAAACGAUACCAAGGAGUCGAUUUUUUUUGUCAAUUUCGGGUAAAGAGUAACAAUCUCAUGGACAAGCUUUGUGUAAAUCUUUAUAAUUGACGCACAUGCGCCAUCCACCAUUCGACUUAGGGACCAUCUGUAAGAGAAGGAUAUGUUCACUAAAGAACACAAGAUCUGGGAUUAAACGGUUUAUUGUGCGGAAUCUGAUAAACUGAGUUGUAAUCAAUACAUGUAAUCAUAAAUAUAAACGAUAAAGCUUUUAUUACGAUCAUACCAUAAGCGGACAGAGUUUUGACUCUAAACGAUACACGAAUAAGCUCCUAGUUAAUCUUAACGUUGUGAAGAUCUUGUUCGUAUGAAUGUGUUCUUGAAGGUGUGAGAGCUCACUUGUGCGGAUGAAGUGCAUGCUAUGUAUAAAGAAUGUUGUCCAUGCGAAUUAGGUUUUAAAGUCACUGAGGCCCAACUCCGCCCUAUGUGAAGCAUGCUUAAAGUUAAACAUAAGCGACUGAAACAUAUGUGAAAAUAAAACGUCAGCAUAAAAAUGCUUGUGAGUAACAUAGGUUUUGUGAUGAUGAUUCAUGGCUUUUAUUG